UCUUUUGAAAUACUAUUUAUAAUUAUGACAAUUUACCGAAUGUUUUCUUGGUCGCUAAGGUACGAGGAAAGAGCAAUGGGAGCUCCCACUCUGAAUCUCAGCUUCUUGAGAUGGCUUUCAGCCUCUUCCUCGAUAAGGCCCUCUCCGCCAUCGACAACUCUGAUCCAGCUCGGGCAUUGCUUAGACUGAUCAUGAGCCCAUCUGAUGACGAUCAAUGUCCACCGGCACUGCUUAUACUCGCAAUUUCAAGUAGCCAUUGCAGGUCUAUAGUAUUCGUAUGAUGCUGCCAGUGUUCGUGGCGAUGCUGGGAUUUCAUUAAGUUUGCACGUGUAAUGCCCUAGAUCCAAGAUCCAACACUAGUUGACCUCUGCUUUCCUUGUGACCUUGCAACGUCAUCUACUUGUUCUAAACAUCUUUCAAGAGUGAAGACCAUUCCCACAAAUCAACAAUGGUCCUUUCAACAUGAUUUUGUCUUUAUUCACAUGCUUCCUAAGUAAAUUCACAAGAAGGUCACUCAACAUUGAAUUGCUCCAAGCUUAAACAUACAAUUUCGGAGUUAUUAUAAUUGAGUCACCGAAAAGGAAAGUAUACGUUGUUGCUAUAUAUUACUACUUUCAAUUGUUUUAAGCAUUUUUUAACUCCUUUCAUUUGGAUGUGAACUCGGUUUAUUUAUAUUUUCUUCUACACUUGAGGCGUUAGAAUAAGGACCAGCUACCAUGAGAAGAUAUGGGACCAUCCUGCUGGUGUUAUCCUUGUACAAGCAGUGGAAAGUAUUGUUACAGAUGCCAGAUGUGGUCUCUUGGAUUUCUCCAAGGUAGUGUACUUAGAAGGUCCCAAUUGGGGAAUAAUUGGAAAAUCAUUGGAGUUAUCUAUGCCAGUUGGGAUUCUUCUAGCCUAUAAAAUCUUUUGCCUACACAUGAUUCCCUCGGCUGACUAGUCUUCGUGAUUGAAAGGAUCAUCGUAACUGUAAGGUACUUGUUUCAUCCAAAAUUGAUACUUCCUAUUACAAUCUUAUCUCGUUGAGCCAUCUAAAUAAACUUUGUCAUAUCUUCUGAUUGGCUGGCUGCAAUGUGAUCAAAUAUUCUUGGCAUUUGUUCUACUAUAUUACUUUCUAAGUAGAACAGAUCUGAUUUAAUUUAAUCCAUGCAUACAUACAGAAAGAAACAAAGAGGAAUGCUUUGGAAAUGGAUCAGAGAAAGAUUCUCAUCCGAACCCCACCUCUUUCUCCAGCUGAAAAACCAAACUAACACAUGCUUUUGCAUUUAAAAACUUCCAACUUUUUGGAGGAUCUUUUCAAACUAUUACAAGAUCAAGGUACCAACUAAUCAUACAAUUUAAAACAACCAUUAUUCCUUUUUGUUCUUUUUUUUUUCUUCUUAUCCUCCAGAAGUCAAUUAUUCCAUAGCCACAACUUAUGUUAUGAACUUGACCUUUUAUACAACAUAUGGUUUGAAAAUUGUUUGUUAUUAAAUUGCCUAUGCCUUUAUUAUAAUAGGACUGUCAACACAACAAUAAUUUGUUUAAAAAAAUGAUGAGGGUAAGUUUGAAAAGUAUGAUUAUUUAAAUAAGCAUGGUUUUAAUUAGGUGUAUAGUCUUAUAUGGGUUAGGUAGAUCUAUUUGUUCAAGGCAAAAAUUUAAUGCAUUUGUUGACUUAGGUGCAAAACCCACAGAGGAGAACAUGUGUUUGCUCCUUAUUACACACUUUAAAAUUAGUCGGUUCUUGUAAUAAAACCCACAGAUAGCCAAAACUUGUCAAAUUAGUCAUUAAUUAUAUAUAUCAUGUAAUUUCUUA